rnacentral:rRNA from 1 species
AAGUAAGAAUUUCAGUUCAACUUUAAUCUUACCUAAAGAAUAAAGAAUCCACUUGUAAGAUUAAAUUAUAUUCUAAAGAGGGACAGCUCUUUAGAUAAGGAAAUAACCUGAUUUAGAGAGUAAAUUAUUACUUCAUACCACAGUUGGCUUAAGAGCAGCCAUCAGUUAAGAAAGCGUUCAAGCUCAACAUAUCCAUUCUUCUUAAUUUUAAUAGACUAGUUCAACUCCUAUAUCCUCAAUUGGGUUAAUCUAUUACAUAAUAGAAGCAAUAAUGUUAAUAUGAGUAACAAGAAAAAUUUUCUCCUAGCAUAAACUUAUAUCAAUUCUAAUAUCAUUGAUAGUUAACAUUAUAAUAUUAUUAUACAAACUAAUAAUCAUAUUUAUUAUUAUGUUAAUCCAACACAGGAAUGCACCACUCAAGGAAAGAUUAAAAGAAGUAAAAGGAACUCGGCAAACAUUAACCCCGCCUGUUUACCAAAAACAUCACCUCUAGCAUCUCAAGUAUUAGAGGCACUGCCUGCCCAGUGACAUAUGUUCAACGGCCGCGGUAUCCUGACCGUGCAAAGGUAGCAUAAUCAUUUGUUCCUUAAUUAGGGACUUGUAUGAAUGGCUUAACGAGGGUUUAACUGUCUCUUACUUCUAAUCAGUGAAAUUGACUUCCCAGUGAAGAGGCUGGGAUAAUCCAAUAAGACGAGAAGACCCUAUGGAGCUUAAAUUAACUAGCUUAAUUACCCUAUCAACACUUCUGUAGAUACAUAAUGCAAAGUAUUAAUAAGCUACCAAUUUCGGUUGGGGUGACCUCGGAGAACAAAUUAACCUCCGAAAGAUAAAAACUAGACAAACCAGUCAAAUCUAUCAAAUUUAUCAUAUUGACCCAAAAUACUUGAUCAACGGAACAAGUUACCCUAGGGAUAACAGCGCAAUCCUAUUUUAGAGUUCAUAUCGACAAUAGGGUUUACGACCUCGAUGUUGGAUCAGGACAUCCUAAUGGUGCAACCGCUAUUAAAGGUUCGUUUGUUCACGAUUAAUAGUCCUACGUGAUCUGA